rnacentral:rRNA from 1 species
UACGUAGGGGGCGAGCGUUGUCCGGAAUUAUUGGGCGUAAAGGGCGCGUAGGCGGGUACUUAAGUCCGGUGUGAAAGAUCAGGGCUCAACCCUGAGAGUGCAUCGGAAACUGGGUAUCUUGAGGACAGAAGAGGAAAGUGGAAUUCCACGUGUAGCGGUGAAAUGCGUAGAUAUGUGGAGGAACACCAGUGGCGAAGGCGACUCUCUGGACGGUAACUGACGCUGAGGCGCGAAAGCGUGGGGAGCAAACAGG